AUGCAUGUCUAAGUAUAAGCAACUAUACUGUGAAACUGCGAAUGGCUCAUUAAAUCAGUUAUCGUUUAUUUGAUAGUACCUUACUACUUGGAUAACCGUGGUAAUUCUAGAGCUAAUACAUGCGAAAAACCCCGACUUCGGAAGGGGUGUAUUUAUUAGAUAAAAAACCAAUGCCCUUCGGGGCUCCUUGGUGAUUCAUAAUAACUAAACGAAUCGCAUGGCCUUGCGCCGGCGAUGGUUCAUUCAAAUUUCUGCCCUAUCAACUUUCGAUUGUAGAAUAGAGGUCUACAAUGGUUUCAACGGGUAACGGGGAAUUAGGGUUCGACUCCGGAGAGAGGGCCUGAGAAACGGCCGUCACAUCCAAGGAAGGCAGCAGGCGCGCAAAUUACCCAAUCCCGACACGGGGAGGUAGUGACAAUAAAUACUGAUACAGGGCUCUUUUGGGUCUUGUAAUUGGAAUGAGUACAAUUUAAAUCCCUUAACGAGGAACAACUGGAGGGCAAGUCUGGUGCCAGCAGCCGCGGUAAUUCCAGCUCCAGAAGCGUAUAUUAAAGUUGUUGCAGUUAAAAAGCUCGUAGUUGAAUUUUGGGCCUGGCUGGCCGGUCCGCCUCACCGCGUGCACUGGUCCGGCCGGGCCUUUCCUCCUGGGGAUCCGCAUGCCCUUCACUGGGUGUGUCGGGGAACCAGGACUUUUACUUUGAAAAAAUUAGAGUGUUCAAAGCAGGCCUUUGCUCGAAUACAUUAGCAUGGAAUAAUAGAAUAGGACGGCUUUCCUAUUUUGUUGGUUUCUAGGGGAGCCGUAAUGAUUAAUAGGGUCAGUCGGGGGCAUCAGUAUUCAAUUGUCAGAGGUGAAAUUCUUGGAUUUAUUGAAGACUAACUACUGCGAAAGCAUUUGCCAAGGAUGUUUUCAUUAAUCAGUGAACGAAAGUUAGGGGAUCGAAGACGAUCAGAUACCGUCGUAGUCUUAACCAUAAACUAUGCCGACUAGGGAUCGGGCGAUGUUACUAUCUUGACUCGCCCGGCACCUUACGAGAAAUCAAAGUUUUUGGGUUCUGGGGGGAGUAUGGUCGCAAGGC
rnacentral:rRNA from 1 species